rnacentral:rRNA from 1 species
ACAUUGCAAGUCGAGCGGCAGCGCGAGAACAAUCCUGGCGGCGAGCGGCGAACGGGUGAGUAAUGCUUCGGAAUCUGCCCAGUAGUGGGGAACAACCAGUCGAAAGACUGGCUAAUACCGCAUACGACCUAAGGGUGAAAGCAGGGGAUCGUAAGACCUUGCGCUAUUGGAUGAGCCGAAGUCGGAUUAGCUAGUUGGUGAGGUAACGGCUCACCAAGGCGACGAUCCGUAGCUGGUCUGAGAGGACGACCAGCCACACUGGGACUGAGACACGGCCCAGACUCCUACGGGAGGCAGCAGUGGGGAAUAUUGGACAAUGGGGGAAACCCUGAUCCAGCGACGCCGCGUGUGUGAAGAAGGCCUGCGGGUUGUAAAGCACUUUUAGUGGGGACGAAACCCCCGACGUACUACGUCGGAAUUGACUUACCCAAAG